CGGACGGGUGAGUAAUGUCUGGGAAACCGCUCGAUGGAGGGGGAUAACUACUGGAAACGGUAGCUAAUACCGCAUAACGUCGCAAGACCAAAGAGGGGGACCUUAGGGCCUCUUGCCAUCGGAUGUGCCCAGAUGGGAUUAGCUAGUAGGUGGGGUAACGGCUCACCUAGGCGACGAUCCCUAGCUGGUCUGAGAGGAUGACCAGCCACACUGGAACUGAGACACGGUCCAG
rnacentral:rRNA from 1 species